AAUGAACGUUGGCGGCGUGGAUUAGGCAUGCAAGUCGUGCGGAAAGGCUCCUUCGGGAGUACUCGAGCGGCGAAAGGGAGAGUAACGCGUGGAUAUCUACCCCCUGGACUGGGAUAGCGGCGGGAAACUGCCGGUAAUACCAGAUAAAGUCUGCGGACCAAAGGUGUGAUGCCGCCGGGGGAUGAGUCCGCGUCCUAUUAGCUAGUUGGUGGGGUAAUGGACGACCAAGGCAAAGAUGUGUACGGGGUGUGAGAGCAUGGCCCGGCUCACGGGGACUGAGACACUGCCCAGACAACUACGGGUGGCUGCAGUCGAGAAUCUUCGGCAAUGGGCGCAAGCCUGACCGAGCGACGCCGCGUGCGGGAUGAAGGCCUUCGGGUUGUAAACCGCUGUCAGAGGGGAGGAAAUGCAUGAGGGUUCUCUCUCAUGUUUGACCUAUCCUCAGAGGAAGUACGGGCUAAGUUCGUGCCAGCAGCCGCAGUAAAAC
rnacentral:rRNA from 1 species